rnacentral:rRNA from 1 species
UGGGGAAUCUUGCGCAAUGGGCGAAAGCCUGACGCAGCGACGCCGCGUGGGCGAAGAAGGCCUUCGGGUUGUAAAGCCCUGUUGGUAGGAAAGAAACACGACGGUACCUACUGAGGAAGCCCCGGCUAACUCCGUGCCAGCAGCCGCGGUAAGACGGAGGGGGCGAGCGUUGUCCGGAAUUACUGGGCGUAAAGAGCGCGUAGGCGGCUUCUUAAGUCGGUUGUGAAAGCCCCGGGCUCAACCCGGGGAGGCCAGCCGAUACUGGGGGGCUUGAGUGCAGGAGAGGGAAGCGGAACUGCCGGUGUAGCGGUGGAAUGCGUAGAUAUCGGCAGGAACACCCGCGGCGAAGGCGGCUUCCUGGACUGCUACUGACGCUGAGGCGCGAAAGCCAGGGGAGCGAACG